GUGGGGAAUAUUGGGCAAUGGGGGAAACCCUGACCCAGCAACGCCGCGUGAAGGAAGAAGGUUUUCGGAUCGUAAACUUCUAUCCUUGGUGAAGAUAAUGACGGUAGCCAAGAAGGAAGCCCCGGCUAACUACGUGCCAGCAGCCGCGGUAAUACAGAGGUCUCAAGCGUUGUUCGGAAUUAUUGGGCGUAAAGGGCGCGUAGGCGGGAAGGUGUGUCGACCUGUAAAUCUAUCGUUUCAAGCGGUAGGCUUGGGUUGAAACUGCCUUUCUAGAGGAUUUCAGGGGAGUUUGGAAUUUACGGUGUAGCAGUGAAAUGCGUGGAUAUCGUAAGGAAGGCUUGUGGCGAAGGCGAAACUCUGGGGAAUACCUGACGCUGAGGCGCGAAGGCUAGGUUAGCAAACGGGAUUAGAAACCCUGGUAGUCC
rnacentral:rRNA from 1 species